UCAACACAUGUCUCAAGGUGGGUGGUGGAUUAUCGUUUUUAAUGCUUAUGGUCUACAGUGACCAUUGAAAACCAGUUAAGCCAUGAGCUCGUCUAUUCAUUUUGACAGUAAAAAUAAAAU